UUUUUCGUAUGAAAAAUGUAAAUAUUAAUAAGUAAAUGAUGCGAUUUCAAAGAUGCUAAAAAUUUGGCACCAGCUUUUGAAUAAUUAAUAAACAGAAACCGAAGCUGGUUAAACUGGUGUCAUUUAUUUGGCAUGGUAAUGAAUUGUUAGAAAUAUAAAAACAUUAAAUUAAGGAAGAAAUGGGUAACAUAAAGCAAGUGAAUGCUCUUUUUGAAUUUUUGACGAAGCAUAAUUAUGGGGCGUAGAGGAAAAUUAUGCGCUGGCAAGUUAUGGAAUGAAUUACCUAAUAAAUACUAUCAAAGGUGGAGCAGCUAAGUAUGGAAAGGGAUGGCUAAGAUGUGGGACGGAAACUGAGGGCUCAUAAGCGUUCAUUUGAAGAUUCAGACUUGGACGACCCCGGAGGUUCUAAUUGUAAACAGAGUCGACAGGACAGCAGCGAGAACUCCG